UACGUUAGUUGCUAACGCGUGAAGGCGAGCACUCUAGACGAACUGCCGUUAGACAAAACGGGAGGAAGGUGGGAUGACGUCAAAUCAUCAUGCCCUUAUGUUCUGGGCUACACACGUGCUACAAUGGCCGGUACAGACGGACGCAAAGCCGCGAGGUGGAGCAAAUCCUAAAAAGCCGGUCUCAGUUCGGAUUGCAGGCUGCAAUUCGCCUGCAUGAAGUCGGAAUCGCUAGUAAUCGCAGGUCAGCAUACUGCGGUCGAAUACGUUCCCGGGCCUU
rnacentral:rRNA from 1 species